UACGGAGGGGGCAAGCGUUGUUCGGAAUUACUGGGCGUAAAGGGCGCGCAGGCGGCUGCUCAAGUCAGGCGUGAAAGGCCUGGGCUCAACCCGGGAAUUGCGCUUGAGACUGGGCUGGCUUGAGUGCGGGAGAGGAUGGUGGAAUUCCCAGUGUAGAGGUGAAAUUCGUAGAUAUUGGGAAGAACACCCGUGGCUAAGGCGGCUCUCUAGUACGGUACUGACGCUGAGACGCGAAAGCGUGGGGAGCGAACAGG
rnacentral:rRNA from 1 species